rnacentral:rRNA from 1 species
UACGGAGGGUGCAAGCGUUAUCCGGAUUCACUGGGUUUAAAGGGUGCGUAGGCGGGUAAGUAAGUCCGUGGUGAAAUCUCUGAGCUUAACUCAGAAACUGCCGUGGAUACUAUUUGCCUUGAAUAUUGUGGAGGUGAGCGGAAUAUGUCAUGUAGCGGUGAAAUGCUUAGAUAUGACAUAGAACACCGAUUGCGAAGGCAGCUCACUAAAACAUGUAUUGACGCUGAGGCACGAAAGCGUGGGGAUCAAACAGG